CCUACGGGUGGCUGCAGUGGGGAAUAUUGGACAAUGGGGGGAACCCUGAUCCAGCCAUGCCGCGUGUGUGAAGAAGGCCUUAUGGUUGUAAAGCACUUUAAGCGAGGAGGAGGCUCUUUUGGUUAAUACCCAAGAUGAGUGGACGUUACUCGCAGAAUAAGCACCGGCUAACUCUGUGCCAGCAGCCGCGGUAAUACAGAGGGUGCGAGCGUUAAUCGGAUUUACUGGGCGUAAAGCGUGCGUAGGCGGCUUUUUAAGUCGGAUGUGAAAUCCCC
rnacentral:rRNA from 1 species